UUGCUAACCGGCCACUCCCGUUGCGAAGCGGGUUCGGAAAGCCACGGGUCUUGAAUCCUAACAAGAUAGCCGGGUUACUCUC
rnacentral:ncRNA from 1 species